UGGGGAAUAUUGCACAAUGGGCGCAAGCCUGAUGCAGCCAUGCCGCGUGUGUGAAGAAGGCCUUCGGGUUGUAAAGCACUUUCAGCGGGGAGGAAGGCGUUAAGGUUAAUAACCUUGGCGAUUGACGUUACCCGCAGAAGAAGCACCGGCUAACUCCGUGCCAGCAGCCGCGGUAAUACGGAGGGUGCAAGCGUUAAUCGGAAUUACUGGGCGUAAAGCGCACGCAGGCGGUCUGUCAAGUCGGAUGUGAAAUCCACGGGCUCAACCUGGGAACUGCAUUCUAAACUGGCAGGCUAGAGUCUUGUAGAGGGGGGUAGAAUUCCAGGUGUAGCGGUGAAAUGCGUAGAGAUCUGGAGGAAUACCGGUGGCGAAGGCGACCCCCUGGACAAAGACUGACGCUCAGGUGCGAAAGCGUGGGGAGCAAACAGG
rnacentral:rRNA from 1 species